ACACACUUUACACUUCACUAGUUCACUUACUUUAGUGGUAUUAUUAAUAACUAAACUUGUAAUCACAGAGACCAGAGUUGAGAGUUCCGCUUUGGUUUGAUCACCGUCUUCAAUGACAGAACCGGAGGUGAUUCACUCAUGGUCUGCACCAAGAUCUCUCAGCACCAGCCUCAUGUACUCCUUUUCUCAGAGAGAUGAUACUGAAGUUGUCGAUGAGCCAUUAUAUGCAGCUUUUCUUAAAGCUACAGGUUUUGAUAGGCCAUACAGAGAUGAUGUUCUCUCCAAGAUGGAGUGCAAUGGAGAUAAAGUUGUGAAAGAUGUCAUAUAUGGAUCAGGAUCAAAGAAGUACCGGUAUUGUAAGCAUAUCUCGAAACAAAGGCUUUUUGGUUUGCCAAGUGAACUGAUGAGUAAAGGAAAGCAUUUCAUAUUGAUCCGCAAUCCUCUUAACAUUCUGCCUUCUUUUGAGAAGGUACACCCUCCAUCAUUUCUCGAGUUAGGCUUGGGGGAGUUAGUCUCUAUAUACAGUGAUCUAUGUCAGAUGGGAACUCAACCGGCAGUCAUCGAUGCUGAUGAGCUUCAGCGAGAUCCUGAGACCACAUUACGCGGUCUUUGCGAUGAUCUGGAGAUUCCAUUUCAAGCUUCUAUGCUUAAAUGGGAAGCUGGCCCUAUACCAGAAGAUGGAGGAUGGGCACCAUGGUGGUACAAGAGUGUGCAUAAAUCAACUGGUUUCUCGUCUCCAGAAAAGUGUCCUCGGUCAUUCCCUCUGUCUCAUUACGAUUUGUUGGAGCAAAGUCUACCCCUUUACAACAUUCUUAGGAGCCAUGUGAAGCACAGGUCCUCCCUAUUGAGCAGUCCCUUGCCUCCUCCUAGUCUCCCAGUUCCUGAAAAUGCAAAACUUCUUGCAUGGGUCGGUGAUGAGAUUCUGCCUCGUGAUAUGGCAAAGGUUUCUGUAUUUGACUCGGUUGUACAAGGCGGUGACUCGGUAUGGGAAGGACUUCGAAUUUACAAAGGGAAGAUAUUCAAACUUGAGGAACAUCUAGAUCGGCUAUUUGAUUCAGCAAAAGCUCUGGCUUUCGAAAAUGUUCCAGCACGUGAAGAGAUAAAAGAAGCAAUCUUCAGAACUCUCAUAGCAAAUGGUAUGUUUGACAAUACACAUAUCAGGUUGUCUCUAACUCGAGGCAAAAAGGUAACUUCUGGAAUGAGCCCUGCGUUUAACCAAUAUGGAUGCACACUUAUUGUGCUUGCCGAAUGGAAGCCUCCGGUAUAUGACAAUGAUGGUGGAAUUGUGUUGGUGACUGCAACUACACGCCGCAAUUCACCUAAUAAUUUGGAUUCCAAGAUUCAUCACAACAACCUUCUCAAUAACAUACUAGCAAAGAUUGAAAGUAACAAUGUGAAUGCUGCGGACGCCAUUAUGCUUGACAAGGAUGGUUAUGUUUCUGAAACCAAUGCAACAAACAUUUAUUUACUUUUUGUAAUACAGUUCAUGGUGAAGAAAGGCUGUGUUCUUACUCCUCACGCAGAUUACUGUCUCCCUGGGAUAACCAGAACUACUGUCAUGGAGCUUGUGGUGAAAGAGAAGUUCAUCUUAGUAGAACGAAGAAUCAGUCUCUCCGAAUUCCACACAGCUGAUGAGGUUUGGACAACAGGAACUAUGGGAGAACUAAGCCCGGUUGUGAAGAUCGAUGGGCGUGUGAUUGGUGACGGAAAAGUUGGACCGGUAACGAGAACACUGCAAAACGCUUACAAGAAACUCACAGAGGAUUCAGGUGUGCCAAUACCUACUUACCAAGAAACCUGAAAAUACAAAACAAGAGGGAGGGGAUACCAAGUAAGAUUGUGUUGGCCUUCCCCUGCAGUCGUUUCUUCUUACUUCUGUGUUGGCACAAAACGGCGAGUAGUAUAUGCGUGGCGAUGGAACAGUGUGAUCACUUACAUUUGUUGUGUGAGAUAACGCGAUAGGAUUGGGUCGCGUUCUGUGGCCGCCGGAGGGAGUCAUCUUCCUUGAUAAUAAAUUUAACUCACAACGCAGACCCACAGGGGUCCAACUCCAACAACGUUCGCCAAAGUGUUUGUAUUAUGGGAGCCGUAUAUAUUUAUAGAAAACAUUCCAACUAUUCUUUAUUUAAUUUUGUUGGUUUGUCAUCAUUUAUUUUCGUCUUUUAAGAUAAUACUGUCAAAGCUUCA